UCGGGAAUUUUGGACAAUGGGCGAAAGCCUGAUCCAGCAAUGCCGCGUGCAGGAUGAAGGCCUUCGGGUUGUAAACUGCUUUUGUACGGAACGAAACGGCGAGCUCUAAUAAAGUUUGCUAAUGACGGUACCGUAAGAAUAAGCACCGGCUAACUACGUGCCAGCAGCCGCGGUAAUACGUAGGGUGCGAGCGUUAAUCGGAAUUACUGGGCGUAAAGCGUGCGCAGGCGGUUAUAUAAGACAGAUGUGAAAUCCCCGGGCUCAACCUGGGACCUGCAUUUGUGACUGUAUAGCUAGAGUACGGUAGAGGGGGAUGGAAUUCCGCGUGUAGCAGUGAAAUGCGUAGAUAUGCGGAGGAACACCGAUGGCGAAGGCAAUCCCCUGGACCUGUACUGACGCUCAUGCACGAAAGCGUGGGGAGCAAACAGGAUUAGAUACCCUAGUAGUCCCUGAGCGGGCUGGCAAGGCGCAU
rnacentral:rRNA from 1 species